GAUGAACGCUGGCGGCGUGCCUAAUACAUGCCAGUCGAGCGAACAGAUGAGGAGCUUGCUCCUCUGACGUUAGCGGCGGACGGGUGAGUAACACGUGGAUAACCUACCUAUAAGACUGGGAUAACUUCGGGAAACCGGAGCUAAUACCGGAUAAUAUAUUGAACCGCAUGGUUCAAUAGUGAAAGACGGUUUUGCUGUCACUUAUAGAUGGAUCCGCGCCGCAUUAGCUAGUUGGUAAGGUAACGGCUUACCAAGGCAACGAUGCGUAGCCGACCUGAGAGGGUGAUCGGCCACACUGGAACUGAGACACGGUCCAGACUCCUACGGGAGGCAGCAGUAGGGAAUCUUCCGCAAUGGGCGAAAGCCUGACGGAGCAACGCCGCGUGAGUGAUGAGGGUCUUCGGAUCGUAAAACUCUGUUAUUAGGGAAGAACAAAUGUGUAAGUAACUAUGCACGUCUUGACGGUACCUAAUCAGAAAGCCACGGCUAACUACGUG
rnacentral:rRNA from 1 species